rnacentral:rRNA from 1 species
GAUGAACGCUGACAGAAUGCUUAACACAUGCAAGUCGAGGGGGAAGUGGUGCUUGCACCAUGGCAACCAUGGCGGACGGGUGAGUAACGCGUAAGGGACUUACCUGCAGGACUGGGAUAACAGGGGGAAACUCCUGACAAGACCGGAUAAUGUCAUGGAGCUGCAUGGCUUUAUGAUGAAAGGAGACGCCUGCGGAGAGCCUUGCGUCCUAUUAGCUAGUUGGUGAGGUAAUGGCUCACCAAGGCGAAGAUAGGUAGCCGGCCUGAGAGGGUGGACGGCCACGAGGGGACUGAGAUACGGCCCUUACUCCUACGGGAGGCAGCAGUGGAGAAUAUUGGACAAUGGGGGCAACCCUGAUCCAGCAAUUCUGUGUGCACGAAGAAGGUUUUCGGAUUGUAAAGUGCUUUCAGCAGGGAAGAAGUAAGUGACGGUACCUGCAGAAGAAGCGACGGCUAACUACGUG